GGAACUUGACUUGCACAACAAUAACCAGCUCCUCCGAGCAAAGAUAGCUGAGAAUGAGAGGCACCAGCAAAGCAUAAAUGCGAUUGCAGGAGGGCAUGGAAGCUAUGAGAUCAUGCAGCCGACUCAGCCAUUUCACGAGGCUUGCAACUAUUUUCAAGUGAAUGCUUUGCAACCCAAUAUCCAUCAGUACUCGCGCCAUGACCAGAUUUCCCUUCAAUUAGUUUGAUAUAUGUAUGCUUGGCCUGGUUUCUGCUGACUUCAUCUUCAAUGGAGGGUGCAUAUGUAUUAUGGCACCAGAUGAAAGCUAGGUAGCUGCAAGUAGCACUUUGUUAAGUAGGA